CUAAAAUAAUACAAAUAAAAUUGAAGAGAUUCAGACAAAAUUAAACAGAUCAUUUAGAAUAUUUAAAACAGCAAAUCCUCAGUACCCCACUUCCUGAAUACAGUUUAUUUAAACUUGAACACACAGCAAAUAUAAGUUUUUAUACA